GGCCUCCCUUUGCUGGGCAAUUGAUUGUGGAGCCCCGUGAUCAAUUGCCCCACAGAGGGAGGCC
rfam:Myotis davidii contig147450, whole genome shotgun sequence.